rnacentral:lncRNA from 1 species
CAUCGGGACACCUCCACCGGGACACCGCCACCAGGACACCUCCAUCAGGACACUUCAAUGGCGACAUCUCAAAGGAGGCAUCUCAGUGGUGACAUCGUAAUGGUGACAUCCAAAUGGUGACAUCUUAAUGGUGACAUCCAAAUGGUGACAUCUUAAUGGUGACAUCCCAAUGGUGACAUCUCAAUGUUGAUGAUUUGGUGCGUAACCAUUCAGAUAUCAGCUGAGCCUCUUUCAUACUCACAAUAUGCCGUGGAUACAUUUAUUUAGUUGAACACGCUAUGUCUAUGGAUGUAUGAGCAGUUAUGACAGUUUGAUUAUGACUCACUAAAGGUAUCAAGGCUGCACAUGUAGCUCCUUAGAGCACGUGUCAAACUCAUUCCAUGGAGGGCCGAGUGUCUGUGGGUUUUCACUCCUGCCUUGUACUUGAUUAAUUAAGGUCAGUAAUUAGUAAAGAACUCCCCCUCACCUGGUUGUCUAGGUCUUAAUUGAAAGGGAAAAAAACAAAACUCAGCCUCAAUGAAAUGAGUUUGACACCCCUGAUUUAAAGUAACGUUCUCAAGUUGUUCAGAGAAGGUUAAGAGACUACGUUCUUCUGUGGGAAUUUCAGUACUUCAGCAUAACGCUUUCUUUACGUUUCCUCUUAGUUUGAUUUAAACUCAUGUUCUCAACAUUAAGAAAACUUUCCAUAAAAACCACAAGAAAACAUUAGUAACAUUCAUGUGUUUGACACAUGGUCUAAGGAGCUACAUGUGUAGCAUUGAUAAACCUGAAGUCUCUUAUCUGGAGGUCAGGGGUCAUCGUUUCACAGGUCUCUCUGCUUACUGUCUCUCCUCACCGUAGGAGAGGAGCGCUGACGCAAACCGCCGGCCAAAACAUUUGUCAGAAAUGAAAACAUCAUGGCAGACCCUGUUACCCAGGAAUGGAGGGGAAUACUUAUUGGGUGACAUCACCAUCUAUUCUGUCUCUCUCUCCCUCCAUCUCUCUCUCUGUCUCUCUCUCUCUCUCUCUCUGGGGCUGGGGCUGAGCUGGGGUUAAACGUACACACCACAGCAAAUUCUCCAGUGUUAAAUCAACACUGAAAGAGUGGGACCAUAUACACACUGGAACCAGUGUUAAAUUAACACACUGCUUAGUGUAAAAGCUUAUUCGAAUAUUUCCCGAGAGUGCCUUUCCUUUCGAGUGAAUUGUAGAGUUAUUAUUUAUGAUUGUAUUUUGUUAGUGACAGAGACAUGGUUGUUCAAUUCAACCAUUUUCAGUCCUAUGGACUUCACAAAGUGAGAUCCUAUGUGAAUAUGGUAUCGUUAAAUAUCUAUAUUUUUAACACAUUACCAUUCGCAUUUCAUAAGGCCUUAUUUUGAGGGCCUAGUUUUACCGUAAUACAGGGGCCUGAAACUCAUACACAUCACUUUGAACCAAAACCCCGCCCGUCAUUAUCAUAUUUCCCAGCAUGCUGUACUGCAGGUAGAUACAAAAUAAUAAUACAUUAACAUGUGAUUGUUUUUGCGUGAUUAGUGUUGAUUGAUUGAUUGGUAAAUCUUAUGCUACACAAAAAAUAAAUAACAUACAUUUUUCUAAACUAAUCCAAUCCCCCCAAAAAUGUUCACCCGUUACUGAAAUGGCUGUUCCAGUUUGAUUGGUUUAGAUAGUCUUCUCAUAAGAUUCCUAAGCUUUACAGUAAUUUUGCAUGCAAGUUGCAGGUGAAUAAAAAUGCCAGUUGUUGGCUAUCCUAACUGAGUGGAUUCCGAUAGAUAUUACAUGUAACUUUCUGAGCCAGCAUAAUGGGGAUAUGCAACAUUCAGAAUGACUGCCAGGGUUGGGAAAACUAAGAUAUGAGACAACCUAAUGCAUCUGAAGUGGAACAACCAUUUCAGUAAUGCCUUGUUGUGAAUCUCUGGACACACUUACUGCCCUGUUUGUCCCGGGACGUUGGGGGGCACAGGUCUGAGCACAGGGCCACUGGCGGACUGAGCGGUGUGCUGUUCGCCCCUCUCCAACGUGAGCCAGAGGAAAUCUGUGAUUCCGGUUGGUGUGAGCAGAGUACACAGAGGCUGAUCCUGGUUGGCUGACUGCCUACAAGGAAGAAGAAGGGUUGUUUAGAGGAAGAAGAGGGGUUGUUUACAGGAAGAAGAGGGGAUGUUUACAGGAAGAAGAGUCAUUUACAGGAAGAAUAUUUAUUUUACAGGAAGAAGGGUUGUUUACAGGAAGAAUAAGGUUUUUUUUACAGGAAGAAGAGGAGAUGUUUACAAGAAGAAGAAGUGUUGUUAACAGUUGGUAUGAGUGAUCAGGGUUCAAACCCAGAUUAUCCACAUAACUCAAGACCAUGUUAACC